rnacentral:rRNA from 1 species
CGCCUUGCCAGCCCGCUCAGAACUUAAGAAUUGACGGGGCCGCACAAGCGGUGGAGUAUGUGGUUUAAUUCGAUGCAACGCGAAGAACCUUACCUGGUCUUGACAUCCCGGAGACCCUUAGGAAACUAGGGGGUGCCUUUCCAUCUGGAAAGAAUCUGGAGACAGGUGCUGCAUGGCUGUCGUCAGCUCGUGUCGUGAGAUGUUGGGUUAAGUCCCGCAACGAGCGCAACCCUUGCCUUUAGUUGCCAGCAGUUCGGCUGGGCACUCUAAAGGGACUGCCGGUGUUAAACCGGAGGAAGGUGGGGAUGACGUCAAGUCCUCAUGGCCUUUAUGACCAGGGCUACACACGUACUACAAUGGCCGAUACAAAGGGCAGCGACACUGCGAGGUGAAGCCAAUCCCGUAAAAUCGGUCUCAGUCCGGAUUGGAGUCUGCAACUCGACUCCAUGAAGUUGGAAUCGCUAGUAAUCGUGGAUCAGCAUGCCACGGUGAAUACGUUCCCGGGCCUU